AGUCUCUAUCGAGGUUAAAGGUACCCGUACCGCAAACCGACACAGGUGGGUGAGGAGAGUAUCCUAAGGCCAGCGAGAGAACUGUUGUUAAGGAACUCGGCAAAAUGACCCCGUAACUUAGGGAUAAGGGGUGCCACCAUCAGGUGGCCGCAGAGAAUAGGCCCAAGCGACUGUUUACCAAAAACAUAGGUUUCUGCUAAGUCGCAAGACGAUGUAUAGGAGCUGACGCCUGCCCGGUGCUGGAAGGUUAAGGGGAUCUGUUAGAGCAAUCGAAGCAGUGAACUUAAGCCCCAGUAAACGGCGGCCGUAACUAUAACGGUCCUAAGGUAGCGAAAUUCCUUGUCGGGUAAGUUCCGACCCGCACGAAAGGCGUAACGAUUUGGGCACUGUCUCAACAACAGACUCGGUGAAAUUGUAAUUCCGGUGAAGAUGCCGGAUACCUGCGACAGGACGGAAAGACCCCAUGGAGCUUUACUGUAGCUUGACAUUGGGUCUUGGUACUACAUGUACAGGAUAGGUGGGAGGCUUUGAAACCAGGACGCCAGUUUUGGCGGAGCCAUCCUUGGGAUACCACCCUUGUAGUACUGGGACUCUAACCAUAGGCCAUGAAUCUGGUCUUGGGACACUGUCAGGUGGGCAGUUUGACUGGGGCGGUCGCCUCCCAAAAGGUAACGGAGGCGCUCAAAGGUUCUCUCAGUACGGUCGGAAAUCGUACGUAGAGUGUAAAGGCAAAAGAGAGCUUGAUUGCAAGACAUACAGGUCGAGCAAGGAUGAAAAUCGGACUUAGUGAUCCGGUGGUUCUGCGUGGAAGGGCCAUCGCUCAACGGAUAAAAGCUACCCUGGGGAUAACAGGCUUAUCUCCCCCAAGAGUCCACAUCGACGGGGAGGUUUGGCACCUCGAUGUCGGCUCAUCACAUCCUGGGGCUGUAGUAGGUCCCAAGGGUUGGGCUGUUCGCCCAUUAAAGUGGUACGCGAGCUGGGUUCAGAACGUCGUGAGACAGUUCGGUCCCUAUCCGUCGCAGGCGUAGGAAAUUUGAGAAGACCUGUCCUUAGUACGAGAGGACCGGGAUGGACGUACCUCUGGUGUACCAGUUGUCCUGCCAAGGGCAUGGC
rnacentral:rRNA from 1 species